AUUGAACGCUGGCGGCAUGCUUUACACAUGCAAGUCGAACGGCAGCACGGGUGCUUGCACCUGGUGGCGAGUGGCGGACGGGUGAGUAAUGCAUCGGAACGUGUCCUGAAGUGGGGGAUAACGCAUCGAAAGAUGUGCUAAUACCGCAUAUUCUCUGAGGAGGAAAGUAGGGGAUCGAAAGACCUUAUGCUUUUGGAGCGGCCGAUGUCUGAUUAGCUAGUUGGUAGGGUAAUGGCUUACCAAGGCGACGAUCAGUAGUUGGUCUGAGAGGACGACCAGCCACACUGGGACUGAGGCACGGCCCAGACUCCUACGGGAGGCAGCAGUGGGGAAUUUUGGACAAUGGGCGCAAGCCUGAUCCAGCAAUGCCGCGUGAGUGAAGAAGGCCUCGGUGUAAGACUCUUCAGUUGUAGAAGAAGAAGUACGUGUACGUAAUAAAUACAU
rnacentral:rRNA from 1 species